rnacentral:lncRNA from 1 species
GGGAUUUGGAUCCUGCCAGCUCGUCCCUGCAACCCCCUACUCCGGUCCCCUCAAACCUGUCCGUGGCUGGCAGCCCUGUGAUACCUCGCCACAUUCUGCAACAGAAUCCGAGAUAGAGGUAGAAGUGGGGGAGUACGUCGUGGCUGUCAGGGCAGCUUUCUGUAAAAUGCUGCCUGGAGGAGCAUGUGAUUCCAGACCCUCCUCUCUGCAACGAAAGUGAGGUUGACACCUGCAGGCCUGGGGCCUCCUGGCCCACUGAGCAGAACACACAGAAGCUGGGCCCACCCCUGCCCUCCCCACAAAGGGUCACGGGAGCCACCGCCUGACUUUGAAGCCCACUGACUUGCGGCUGACAAGAGAAAAGAAUGUGCCCCUGUGAUCAUGUGAAAGCAUCAGCCAGGGGUCCAAGAACUUCCCUCUGGAGCCUCACACUCCCAGCGUGGCACCCAGCAGGGAACAGAUUCUCUCCAAACCUUUGUGAAUGAAUGAAGGAUGACGUCACUAGAAUCCAUCCCUGUUUUAUUUUUUAUUUUUAUUUUUUGAGACAGAGUCUCGCUCUGUUGUUGCCCAGGCUGGAGUGCGGUGGCACAAUCUCAGCUCACUACAACCUCCGCCUCCCCGGUUCAAGUGAUUCUCCUGCCUCAACCUCCUGAGUAGCUGGGAUUACAGGCACCCAUCACCACGCCUGGCUAAUUUUUGUGUGUGUUUAGUACAGACGGGGUUUCACCACGUUGGCCAGACUGGUCUUGAACUCCUGACCUCAGGUGAUCCGCCUGCCUCGGCCUCCCAAAGUGUUGGGAUUACAGGCGUGAGCCACCACGCCCAUGCCCAUCCCCAUUUUAUAGACAAGGAUACCAAGGCUCAGAGAGGGGAAGCCACUUGCCAAGGACGCACAGGAGGACACCAGUGAGCAGGACCUCUGGUCUGUCUGGGAGGCCACUGGGCCUCUUCCCAGAGUCUCUGCUUGGUGAGCCAGGAUUUUACACCCGCCUUGGGCCCAGUGGGCUGAGAGGACAUGGGCUGGGGUGUCGGAAGCUGCAGAGCUGAUCCCUCCUGCUUGGCUGGAGGCUUGCAGACCCGGCAGGCAGGCUCGGGAGGCAGCGGGCGACUUGAAAAUGCACUCCCUACCACAGGCUCAAGAGUGACGGCGCCUGUCAGGGACCGGGAGGCAGGGCCUGUCUUUUCCUGCUGUUUUAUUGCCUUCAAAGUCUGGACCAAGUGGUUUCUGGAUGGAGUCACGGUAACCUCACGUCUAUUCAAGCAAUUCGUUCAUUGUUUCAUUUAGUAAAAUACCCACAAAACAAGGAAGAACACCUUGGCGGUGCCUCUGAUCCCCCCAUUUGUCUGCAAAUCGGAAAAGCAUGAUUCCAUCGAUCUCCUGUUUAUUGAGCGCCUACUACAUGCUAGGUCGGAUGGUCUAGUUCAACCCCUCGCAACGCCACAGCUGCUGUCUGUUUCGUAUCUUGUAUUUUUCGCUUGACAGUUUAUCAUGUGCAUUUUCUCGGGUACCAAAGGCCCUUGUAAGAGAUGGUGUCUGGAGAAUGGGUAUCUCAGGGGCCUACCACCUGGCUUACCUCCUCCCAAAUCAGGGUUCCUCUGCACCACCUCCUCUCUGUCCAGCUCCUCCUUCAGGGCCUGGCUCAAUUCUACCUCCUCCACAAAGCCCUCCAUUCCCUCCCCUCCUGGUCAGUGUUGUCUCUUUUGCAGCCACUAGCUCUCUGCCUUGCCUCACCCGGGUCUCCUAUCCCUCUCCUUCUCUCUCAUGGAGUGAUGCCUUUUUUCUUCCUCUACACACAUCAGGUCUGAGCUCAAAGUCACCUUGUCAAAGGCCCUCCCAGGACCACCCUGUGUGAUUAUCCUGUGGGCUUGUUCCUGUGUUUGUCCCUGAGCCCACAGGGUCUGGUGGUUCAGUAGAAGGACUCCUGCAGAAGGUGCUGGAUAAACACUGGAAGAUCUAGAAAUAAAAAUAAAAGAAAGACUGGGCGCGGUGGCUCAGGCCUGUAAUCCCAACACUUUGGGAGGCCGAGGUGGGCGGAUCCCCUGAGGUCAGGAGUUCGAGACUAACCUGGCCAACAUGGCGAAACCCCAUCUCUACUAAAAAUACAAAAAUUAGCCAGGCAUGGUGGCAUGUGCCUGUAAUCCCAGCUACUCAGGAGGCUGAGGCAGGAGAAUCGCUUGAACCCGGGAGGCAGAGGUUGUAGUGAGCUGAGAUCGCGCCACCGCACUCUAGCCUGGGCGAAAGAGUGAGACUGUAUCCCAAAAAUAAUAAAAUAAAAUAAAAUAAAAUAAAAUAAAAUAAAAUAAAGCACACUCAGUUAAAUAUGAAUGUCAGAUAAGUACCAAAUAACUUGUGAGUAUAAAUGUAUCCCAAAUAUGGAAUGGAAUACACAUAGUAAACAUUUUUUUUUAUUAUCUCAAAUUCAAAUGACACUCAGCAUCUUGAAUUUAAUCUGACAACUCCACCUCCUCCUACCCUCUUUGCCCCUUGUCAGGCAAGCUCAAUAGCUAGGCCGAGAGCUGCUGAGGGCGGGGACCUUGUCUGUCUAGGCCACUGCUGUAUGCGUGCCUGGCCCUCAGCAGGGAACCUGACAUGAAGCACACGCUGGAUAAAUAAAUACCUGUUGCUGGAGCGAGUGAUGGGUUCCCAGCCCUCACUGGGGAAUCGAGGGGACUCCACCUCAGCCCAGCCAGAUGGAAUCGUCGGGAACAGAGUGCACCUUAAUUUCUGCGAAGACCAAUGCAAAUUAGAAGAAGACUGAGAUGCAGGCUGUUUGAUCCAAGAGAUGCUUUUUAAUUAUUGUAAAACAGCUGUGACUUACUGAGCACCAACUGUGUACCCGGCCUCACACUGUUCUCAUACACAACAGCUCCACGGGGAAGGCAUUCUCACCGAGAUUCAGAGAGGGGCAGACCUGGCCUCGGGUCGCACAGCUGGGAACCGGACACCGGGCUCUCUCCAGUCAGCUCGGGUGCUGCUGGCCCCAGCACCUCCCCCAUGGCGUGGACCAGGGCCUCCGAGGCUGCUUUAAAGAAGGUUCUUUGAGAACGGCGCAUGUACCGUGUGGACACUCGUGUGCGCCCCUGAAGUUUUUGAGCCAGCCACCCUGUCAUCAAUCUUGGUUAUGCAGUUCAUUUAUUCAGUAGACCCCAGGUUCCCAUCCACGUUUGGUGCACAGGAGAACUCCCCUGCUCAGGAAUUCUGAAUUAAGGAGGCUUUGAAUGAACGAGGCUCUACUGAAUUUAAAUUCCAGAUGGGGCAGGGAGGGGCUGGGUACUGGUGAGCGGCACAGACUGGGCAGGUAGAUGCGGCAGGAGUUCGAAUCCAGCCCCUACCGUUUCUCAGAUCUGUGACUUUGGAAAAAUCACUUUCUCUGGCCCUCAAUUUUGCCAUCUCUAAAGAGGGGGCUGAAUGAAUUCAGACACCCCAAGGCCCCACAAAGUGCUAACGACUGAGAUACGCUGGGGUUGGAGGUGAUUGGGAACAGGUUACGGUCCUGCUUUCCCUGGGGGAACCUGGCCCUGUGUCCGAGGUGCCCGUGGCAUCUCUGCUGGUUGCCCUGGUUUCUGACUCACCCCAGGGAGCUGCCGGGCAGGGGAAACUACCCUCCUGGCCUCCUGAGACCUGCCUUCCAGGCUGCAGGCCUGCUGUCGGGGCUGCUCUGUGUGUGUGUGUGUGUGUGUGUGUGUGUGUGUGUGUGUGUGUGUGUGUGAUGAGGCAUGGGCUGCGCUCUGCACAGAGGUGGGGGUGAGGGUGGGCUCACAUAUUUUAAGUUCAUCACCUGGCUGGGGAAGUGGCCACCCUUGCUCCAGAAAGGUGGCUCUAUGUUCCCAAAUUGUCAUCACUGUCCCUCACAUGUGCUGGAAUAACAUUCAAACUCCCCCAGGCUCCCAAGGCCCCAUAAACUGGCUCCUGCCCGAGACGCUCGCUUCUGCCUUACCCCAGCCCUGUGGUCACCCGCAAAUACUCCAAGCCCUUUCCCUCCUUACAGGCUUUGGCCUGGGCUGCGCUGGCCAACAGAACUCCCUCUCCCCUCCGCUGCAUCCCUCUCUUGCUCUGCCUUCUCCAGGAGGCCUUUGUGAACGUUCUGUGGACAUGGGCUCUCCAUGAGUCUCUCAGCUCGUGUUUGCUUCCCCCUGAGCCAGGGUAGAGGCUCCUGCACGCUGAGUCCUUAUCUGUGUUGCGCCGACCCCAGUGCCUAGGCAGGGCCUGGGCCCCAGGGCCCCUCUGGAUCUGUUGAAAGAAGAGGUCAGAGGGCUGUGUCAUCUAAACCCCGUUUGCAUUGAGAGAGUCAUUCUUACUGCCACAUAUCCAUGCAUUCAUUUGUUCAUUCAACAGAAAGCACCAGGCCCUGGGCGAUUGAGGGUUGAAAGAGACACUGGCCCCUGCCCUUGUGAAUCCCUUUCCAGCCAGGUGUGUCAGGGGCGCUGGGCGGGUGAGGCCGGCACUGAGCAGGUGAGACCCAAAAACAAACACCACCUGGCGAUUUCUCUGUUUUCUCCCACACAGUCCCCCUUUUUGGAUGUUAAGAGAUUAAUAUAUGCAAAUACCCUUUUCCUAUGGUGGUUUUAGCCUUGCACUCUGUGGAUUAAGUUACUUGAUUUAAAUACAUCUUCCCCCCACCAACAUAUACAUGUAUAAAUCCUAAACACUAAAUAAAAUCCCCUCAUUUCCCGUGUGCUGCGGAGCUUCUAAUCCCAAGUCCUGUGGGCAUUUCAGCAGUUAAGAUGGUUCAUGGGGGUUGUGGAGAUUUUAUUUGGAAUAUCAAAU